GACGAACGCUGGCGGCGUGCCUAAUACAUGCAAGUCGAACGCAGUUGGGACGGGUUAGUAACACGUGGGUAACCUCCCAUCAGAGGGGAUAACACUUGGAAACAGGUGCUAAACCGAUACUGAUGGAUGGACCCGCGGUGCAUUAGCUAGUUGGUGAGGUAACGGCCUACCAAGGCCACGAUGCAUAGCCGGCCGGAGAGGAUGAUCGGCCACACUGGGACUGAGACACGGCCCAGACUCCUACGGGAGGCAGAAGUGGGGAAUCUUCGACAAUGGGCGAAAGUCUGACGCAGCAACGCCGCGUGUAUGAAGAAGGUUUUCGGGUCGUAAAGCUCUGUUGUUAGGGAGGCGGUAUCUAAACAGAAAGCAACGGCUAACUACGUGCCAGCCGCCGCGGUAAUAC
rnacentral:rRNA from 1 species